rnacentral:rRNA from 1 species
CGGGUGCGGCGCCGGUCUAAGUCCCUUGGAACGGGGCGUCAUAGAGGGUGAGAAUCCCGUAUGUGACCGGCGACCAAGCCCAUGUGAAGCACCUUCGACGAGUCGAGUUGUUUGGGAAUGCAGCUCAAAAUGGGUGGUAAAUUUCAUCUAAAGCUAAAUACCGGCCAGAGACCGAUAGCGCACAAGUAGAGUGAUCGAAAGAUGAAAAGCACUUUGGAAAGAGAGUCAAAAAGUACGUGAAAUUGUUGAAAGGGAAGCGCUUGCAACCAGACCUGUCCGCGGGCGAUCAGCCGUCCUUCUGGGCGGUGCACGCGCCCGCGAUCAGGCCAGCAUCGGUUCGGGCGGCCGGAUAAAGGCCCUGGGAACGUAGCUCCUCUCGGGGAGUGUUAUAGCCCAAGGUGUAAUGCGGCCCGCCGGGACCGAGGACCGCGCUUCGGCUAGGAUGCUGGCGUAAUGGUUGUAAGCGGCCCGUCUUGAAACACGGACCAAGGAGUCUAACAUCUAUGCGAGUGUUUGGGUGUUAAACCCAUGCGCGUAAUGAAAGUGAACGGAGGUGGGAACCCUGAAGGGCGCACCAUCGACCGAUCCAGAUGUCAUCGGAUGGAUUUGAGUACGAGCAUAGCUGUUGGGACCCGAAAGAUGGUGAACUAUGCCUGAAUAGG